rnacentral:lncRNA from 1 species
UUGAUAUAAGUUUAUUUAUUUUUGGAGGAAAACACUAAGAAAAGAACUUCACAUUAUCUUGCAUAUAUAAAAUAUUCCUUUCACACAAUAUUCCAAAUGAAAAUAUUACACUGAAAUAACAUUUUAUUUCCACAUUAUUCUCCCAUAAAUCUAACAUCCUUCACCCUUAUUACUGUUAUUAGUUUUGGCAAAGGAAAAACAUGGAUACACACGAUUACAUGAUGGUACAUGACGGUGAUGGAUCCUCCUUCAACAUGAACUGGUAUCCUCCAUGAGAGGUUCCACCAAAGGGCAUUGGUGGACAAUCAGGCACGCAUCCGUCGAUCCUUCCACAAGAGUAACACCGAGACCCUCCUUGGUGCCCCCCAGAGGAGGGCAUCCUGCAACAAACCUGACAAAUUGGUGGUUGACAUGGUGGUGGACACCAAGGUUCACAUGGUGGUGGACACGGUGGUGGACAUGGUGGCUGGCACGGUGGUGGGCAUGGUGGUGGGCACGGUGGUUCACACGGUGGUGGACGGACAUGGUGGUGGGCACGGUGGUUCACACGGUGGUGGACANNNNNNNNNNNNNNNNNNNNNNNNNNNNNNNNNNNNNNNNNNNNNNNNNNNNNNNNNNNNNNNNNNNNNNNNNNNNNNNNNNNNNNNNNNNNNNNNNNNNNNNNNNNNNNNNNNNNNNNNNNNNNNNNNNNNNNNNNNNNNNNNNNNNNNNNNNNNNNNNNNNNNNNNNNNNNNNNNNNNNNNNNNNNNNNNNNNNNNNNNNNNNNNNNNNNNNNNNNNNNNNNNNNNNNNNNNNNNNNNNNNNNNNNNNNNNNNNNNNNNNNNNNNNNNNNNNNNNNNNNNNNNNNNNNNNNNNNNNNNNNNNNNNNNNNNNNNNNNNNNNNNNNNNNNNNNNNNNNNNNNNNNNNNNNNNNNNNNNNNNNNNNNNNNNNNNNNNNNNNNNNNNNNNNNNNNNNNNNNNNNNNNNNNNNNNNNNNNNNNNNNNNNNNNNNNNNNNNNNNNNNNNNNNNNNNNNNNNNNNNNNNNNNNNNNNNNNNNNNNNNNNNNNNNNNNNNNNNNNNNNNNNNNNNNNNNNNNNNNNNNNNNNNNNNNNNNNNNNNNNNNNNNNNNNNNNNNNNNNNNNNNNNNNNNNNNNNNNNNNNNNNNNNNNNNNNNNNNNNNNNNNNNNNNNNNNNNNNNNNNNNNNNNNNNNNNNNNNNNNNNNNNNNNNNNNNNNNNNNNNNNNNNNNNNNNNNNNNNNNNNNNNNNNNNNNNNNNNNNNNNNNNNNNNNNNNNNNNNNNNNNNNNNNACACAAGUGCUGAUCGAAUGGGGGUCGACGUCACCUCUCAAUCAGACUGGAGCAGCCCAUGUGAUCAAAACACUGGAUUACGAACACAAGGAUUAAAAUUUGAAACAACAAGGGUGGAAACAUCAGUCAUUGGAGGAGUUUAUAUUUUUUAUAGUAGAAAAAUUAGCUUCACACAUAUUAUUUAUUACGAAAGAUAUUAAGAAUAUUAAUUAUUAUUUAUCACGAUAAUGACACUCAUGUAAAAGAAGAUCCACAAACUGGGGGUAAAAGAUGAUCUUCAAUACAGAGAAAGGCUACACUCAUGCCCUUUAUACCAUCCUAUAUAAAAUUCGCAGCUACAGAAUGAUGUACAAAACGGUGUUCUUAGAUGGCGUCAAAGAUGGACAAGAUUUGAUGGGUUGAGGUUGGUGGCUCAACCUUUAUCUCCUCCUUUUUUUGGAGGGAGGAUGAUGAAAACGGGUGACUUCUCAACAUCCUGAACCCAACUCCAUGAAGCGAUGUGACUACAAGAUGUGGCCCAUGAAGACGGAACAUAGUUGCUGUCAACCAUGACUGGGACCCAGACCAACGGUUCAAGUGGGACUUUGAUUCCAUUAACUCCGGUAAAAAGCUUGAGAAUAUGCGUUUUCCCAUUUGCCUUCAAUCUUCAUAGCAGUAGGUCCAUUGUUUCAGCAGCAUGAUUCUACGUUGAAACACCUUAGCAAACGAGCAUGCUUCGAACUGAAAAAGCCGAGCAUUCCUCUCGUUCCAUAGCGUCCAGCAGAUCACAGUGUUGAAAUUAGUGCAAUUGAUUUGUUGGAACACUCUAGAUAUAUAUUAAACUAGAUUCAUGCAAGAAUCGUUAAUAUAUUUAUAUACUCAUUCAUCUUUACAUCUUCCUAUAAUGUCUGUUCAUUUUUCUAUGCAAUCUUAAUUACAUGCAAUUAAUGUGAAUGUAUAUACUAGAAGUCUCCAUGAAGUAUGAAGUACGUCCCUACCUACCAGUGUAUUUGGGAACACAACCACAAGUUGAUUGUUCUCCAUCUUUGUAUUGAGUUGCUACAAGUUGAGUAGCAAUGGUAAUGCAUUCGUAUGGCAUGCUAGACUUGGGCAUCUUAACAUGAAUAAGUUAAGAAUUAUGGUGCAAAAGAACUUGGUAAAAGGGCUUCCAAAAUUAACUAAUUUUGAUAAUGGAGAAAUUUAUGAAAAGUUGUCAAUAUAGAAAGGCACAUUGCCUUCCAUUUGACAAAUCUCUCUCAAGGUGCAAGGCUCCACUAGAAUGUAUAUAUAGUGACUUAAUGGGACUAACUAGAACUCCAUCUUAUUUUGGAUUUCAUUACAUAUUAAUUUUUGUUGAUGGUUUUACAAAAUUCAUGUGGGUUUAUUUUGUAAAGUAUAAAUCAGAAGUUUUUACCAGAUUUUUGGAGUUCAAAGAGACUGUAAAAGGUGAACUUGGGAUGAAAAUCAAGCGCCUACAAAUAGAUAAUCGAGGGGAGUUCACUUCCGAUAGGGUUUUUCUCUUUUUUAUCGACAAUAUGGCAUUAAGACAGAAUUUAGUUGUGCUAAAAUGCCAUAGCAAAACAGAGUUGUUGUGAGAAAAAUCAGACACCUUGUGGAGACUUGCAAGAGCUGGUUGUAUGCUAAAAAUUUAUCUAAAGCUAUAUAUAUAAAGUGUGCAACAUAUAUGAUUAAUCAAAUGUCGCUUAGCCUAACAAACAUGAAGUCUUCUUAUAAGUUGAUGUUUGGAGAAAUUUAUGUUCACAUGCCGGAAUCUCAAAAAAACAAGUUAGAUGCAAAAGCAAGGAAGUGCAUUUUUAUUGGAUACGAUGAAAGGAAGAAGGACUGGAAGUGCAUGGAUCCGAGGACUCACAAAUUUAUUGUUUUGAUGAAGUUUCUUCAUAUUAUGGCCUAAUUAAUGGAGCUGCAUUUGAGCAAGAAAGAUCCAACACUUUAGAUCUUAAAAUGACAAUACCACAUAACUCUUCUUCUUAAUCAUCAUUAGGAGAGCAAAGUGAAAGGGAGAUUUGAAGUUCUCACCAAAGUAGUGGACAACAAGAAGAAAAUGAUGAAUUGGUGGCUAGUAAUUAACGACCAAGGAGAGCAAUUGUCAAGCCAUUCCGUUAUCGAGAUAAAAAUUUUGUAAGUACUUAUUCUUAUUUCUUUGUCAAUCCAAUUGAUGACGAGGAACUCUCUUGCUAUAACAAAGCUAAAGGUAUCAAGGAGUGGAAGGGUGGAUGAGGAAAUGAAUGUUCCUUUUUUUUAAUGGCCAUUAUUUCCGUCAAAAUAACUUUUUCUAUUUGUUAUAAAAAAAAGUCACGUCAGUCAAUAUCAUCCUCCACUUUGAGAGGAAAGAAUUGGAUAGCCGUUGCAUCAAAAGUAUUAAACUACGAAAUUUAAGAUAAGAAUAUUCGUGGGGAGGACCAUUCCCUUUAUGAAUCUUGAAGUGUUAAAUUACCAUCAUCAUGGAGGGAAAUCAUGAGAGCCACCAUCCAUGCAAUCUCUUGUUGCCUUCCACUUUGAUGGUGAUGACGUAAAGGCAUCUUAAUUUAUGAUUAGCCUUGUCAUAUCCAAAAAGAUGAAGAUGAUGUUUGUAUUAAAAUUUAAAAGCGUGUCAAACAAAGCGGGCAGUCUUUUGUUUUAUCGGGCAGUCUUUUCCAUCACCAAACCGGCCGAACCAGUGGUUCACAAGGUAUGGGUUGUGCCUUCGAGUCGGGCUUCUCAUCGGGGCAUUUAGUAUCCUUGGGAUGGUCGCAUACCAUAAUUUGUAUGUCAUUGAUCACCUUGCAGGAUUCUUUUUUCUUAUCAGAGGGUGCAUUAAUUGGGAGGGUCCCUGUGUUCUUUGGCAGGCCUUGCAGCAGAGCUUCUGGGGAUCCAAUGGGCCGGCGAUUGUGACGGCAUUGUUCUUCUCGUCAUAGGAGAUAGUUUUUAUGUUCUCUCCUUCUUUGCUGGUGGAAAAUAUGGGGGAAAAUUGGAUGGUUGGUACAAUCAUUAGUAGCUAAAAUAUUGGACUAAAAUGGAGGUAGUAACAUGUGUGGAGGUUUAGUUACGCAUCCAGGAGCUUGCAUGGAGUCAUUUAAAUCUUUUUGUAGCAACGAUGGCAGUCUAGGUCAACUUUUUAUGGCUAACUUGGAGAUCUGGGUGAUAGAAUUUAUUUAAUGAAUGUGAAAAUAAAAUGAAGGACCUUGGCUAGCAAAUAUGUGAAAAUAAAUAUGCAAUACAAAAUGAAAAUACCGUUGUCUUAGUAUGAGUAUUAAAAGAAUUAAAAAAAGAAAGNNNNNNNNNNGGAAAGGUGGCAAAAAAUGAAGCAUUUAACCUGCUAUUAGAGAGAGAGAGAGAGAAGAGUGGGGAAGAAAAAAGAAAAGGGAAACUCUAAAUUGCUUUCACUGAUAAAUUUAGAAACAAUUUAACAAUAAUUGCGAUCUUAAGCUAAUAGAGAAAGAAUAAAUAAUGUAGGUCAAAGUUAAACAUAGACAGAUUGAUCUAAACAAGAAAAAAAGAAAAGAUUUGAGAGUGAUGAACCAUCCACCUCUAAAGUUUUAUUCUGAUAAAAAUUAUAAAUGGGAAUACAAAAGCUUCAUAGUAUCAUUGACAUAUAACCGAAAGCUUUAGAAAAAAGAUCAUGAUAUUAUGAGAUCCGUAAGAGAAAUGAGUUAAACACAUCAUAUAUUGGCCUUCGAAAAUUGCGUUGAGAAGAUACAAUAAGUGAUAUUGGAGGGAGGAGAAUUUUCAAUCUUUUCCGCUAUUGCUAGAUUGAAGCCAGAUCCCAAUUCUGAAAUUUGGUGCGAGGGUACGUAGCCUUUUACGGCCCCGUAUAACGUGAGCGACCGACGGAGAGCUGUAGAGAAAAAGCCGGGGGGACGUGACCAAGAACCCACCCGCAAUUAUGGUAGGCUUUUUUAUUAUUAUUUUUCUUUUUAUAAAAGUAAGUGGAAGUGCCAUCACACUAAUGGUAAUAUUUUUUAAUGACCAUCACAUCCACCAAAAUAACUUUUCUUAUUUGUUUUCAAGAGAAAAGUCAUCCCAAGAGUCGUUCAAUAUCAUUCUCCACUGUGAGAGGAAAGAAUGCGAUAGCCGUUGCACUAAAAGUAUUAAACUAGGAAAUUUUUAUUUUUUAAUUAAAUAUUAUUUUUUGAGAUUUGUGCAUUGGAUUUUUUAGUUGACAGUAUCUUGAUCUGUAGUCAACUAAUAGUCCACUGUGGAAAGAAAAACAUUCCAACAAACAAUCUUAAGAGAUCAAGCACGUAGGAGCUGAUAGAUAAACCAGAUGUAACUAUUUUAUUCAAAAAACUAUAAAGAGGAUCAAAGCCACCCCAUGUAUCCACUCUAUGGGUACUUGAGUUCAGAACAGACUAAGCUUAAUACUCGAAGUCUCGAAGGAUUAGAGUUGCAUCUUUUGUAAACCUUUGAAUUAUGAUCAAUUGGUCGCUUUGAGAUGUAUGCAGACGGAUAAAUAAUAAAGUUUUGAAGUGCUUUGAGAUCUGUGCAUGGGUGAUCUAAUAGUGGAUUUGUGUGAAGGAAAUUGAAUACUUCUUUCAUGCAAAAGAUGCAAUCAAGUCCCAGCUUUCAACCCAACCGGGGCAGAGGAUUUGCUGGUACCUCUCGCCUGGAAGAUAAGAGGAUUUGCUACUCAGCUACAAACUCAAGAAGUAGAUGCAGUUGUGUUAUAGAAAAUAUUAUGAAGAAUAGCUCUGUUAAAGAUCAUAAUGGCAGUACCACCGAGGUAGUAGCACGGUUGAAACGAGGCUAAGAUUCCACCGGAGUAGCCUAGAUUCGAAACGCGCGGGCACGGGUGGGGAGGGUAUGAGUAAAACUUAUCUGCCCGUAUCGAAUAUUCUUCAGUGGGAAGAGGGCUCAGUAGGGGCUGCUACGCGGGUGAGGUCCUCCUCACCCCCCUCCUUCCUUUUGUCCUAGCAAAAAAAAGAAAAAAAAAGACCAUAAUGGCAGUCACUUGUGAAGAUGAUUUGGCUGGUUGUUUAUAGGCUUUUUGGUUGCCAGUUUUGUGACCUCAAGUCCGCUAAUAGUCCAAUGUGGAAAGAAAAAUUUUCUAACAAACAAUCUUGAGAUCGAGGACAUAGGAGCCGACAGAUAAACCAGAUGCGACUAUUUUUUCCGAAGAAAGGCAGAGGGGAGUGGCCUUACCCACAGUAUCUAUAUAUGAGUCCAGAACAAACCAAGCUUAAUACUUGAAGUCGUGAAGGAUUAGAGUUGUAUCUUUUGCAGAUCUUUUGAAUUAUCCAUUGGUCGUUUUGAGAUCUAUGCAGACAGAUAAAUAAUGAAGUUUGGAGUGCUUUGAGAUCUGUACAUUGGGUGAUCCAAUGAUGGAUUCGUGCGAAAGAAGAUGAAUACUUCUCUAGAUCCAAUGGUAUUCUAAGUCUCACAUGUAUGUCUAUGAGGAGAGAAAUCAAUCUCUAGAUAUAUUGGCUAGCCAGUAGGCGCAGAUGUACUGAUGGAAAUUUUAUAAUCGGAAGUUCUCAGCCUUUAUCUUCCUAGUAGGCUUUUUUUUCUUCUAGCUGAUAUAAGUUUAUUUAUUUUUGGAGGAAAACACCAAGAAAAAACUUUACAUUAUCAAGCAUAUAUAAAAUAUUCCUUUCACACAAUAUUCCAAAUGAAAAUAUUACACUGAAAUAACAUUUUAUUUCCACAUUAUUCCCCCAUAAAUCAUACAUCGUUCACCCUUAUUACUGUUAUUAGUUUUGGCAAAGGAAAAACACGGAUACACAUGAUCACAUGAUGGUACAUGACGCUGAUGGAUCCUCCUUAAGAAUGAACUGGUAUCCUCCAUAAGAGGUUCCACCAUAGGGCAUUGGUGGACAAUCAGGUGCACAUCCGUAGAUCCUUCCACAAGAGUAACACCGAGACCCUCCUUGGUACCCGCCAGAGCUGGGCAUCCAGCAACAAACCUGACAAAUUGGUGGUUGACACGGUGGCGGACACGGUGGUGGACACGGUGGUUCACACGGUGGUGGACACAGUGGUUCACACUUUGGCUGACAUGGUGAUUCACACGGUGGUUGACAUGGUGGUUCACACGGUGGUAGACACUUUAUCUUUUUUGGCGGCUCCGUGCAGGAAUCCGGGCAUUUUGGAUGCUCACAUAUUAUGAUCUCAAUGUNNNNNNNNNNNNNNNNNNNNCUGGUGGCCUUAUGCCUACCCGCACCCUAGGACCGUCGCGGCGGCCCGCCGGGAACGGGGCGGGGGUCGUGACAAGUUUCUUUUUCGGUAGUUUUUUUAUCCUUAUCAUCCUUUUCCUUCUCGGGAGUAGGAUCCUUGAUCACCUUCUUAGUCACCGUGCAUUUGGGAUCCUUGUGAUGGUCACAUGAUAUGAUUUUAAUGUUGUUGCACACCUUGCAACAACAUUUGCAAGGUACUGGUGGGGGUGGCGGCGGUGCCGGCGGCUUCGGUUUCGGUUUCUCCACUACAAUUAUUAUGGCUAUGAUCACCUUGCAGGCCAUGCAGCGGAGCUUCUUGGAGAGCUUCUCGGGAUCGAAUGGGCCGGAGAUUGUGACAGUAUUGUUCUUCUUGUCAUAGGAGAUGGUUUUUAUGUUCUCCCGUUCUUUGUUGAUGGAAAUCAAAGGGAAAAAUUGGAUGAUUGGUACAAUCAUUAGUAGCUAAAAUAUUGGACUAGAAUGGAGGCAGUGGAAGUUCGGGGGGUGUAAUUACGUACCUUGGAGCUUGCAUAGAGUCUUUUGAAUCUUUUUGUAGCAAUACCGGCAGCCUAGGUCAACUUUUAUCUCUAACGUGGAGAUCUGUGAUAGGAUUUAUUUAGUGAAUGUGAAAAUAAUAUGAAGGACCUCAGCUUGGGAAUAAGUGAAAACAAGUAUGCAAUACAAAUGAUGUUGUCGUUGUUCUAAUAUGAGCAUUAAAAGAAUAAGAAGAAAACAAAGAAGGAAAGAAUAAAAAAAGAAAAAAGUUAAACAUAGUCAGGUUAAUCAAAACAAGAAAGAAAGAAAAGAUUCAAGAGUGAUGCAACGAUCCGCCUCAAAUAAGUUUUAUUCUGACAAAAAUAUAAAAGGGAAUUACCAAAGCUCGAUGCUAUCAUUAACAUAAAACUGUUAAGCUUUAGGAAAACGAUCAUGAUAUUAUGAGAUCCACAAGAGACAUGAGUUAAAAUCAUCGUGAGCUAGCCUUUGAAAAGUCCAUGGAGAAGUGAUUCUGAAGGGAGGAGAAUCGGCAACCUUUUCCGCCAUUGCUAGAUUGAAGGCAGAUCCUAAUUCUGGAUGUUUGGUUUCGAGUGUAGUUGGCGGGGAGGGGGGGUAGCCUUCUUUAUAACGCGAAUGACCGACGGAAAAGAGGGAGGGGACACUGUGACCUCGAACCUACCGGCAAUUAUGGGAGCACCUGAGAGGCUCGUUUGGUGGGAUGGGACUUUUAUUAAUUAGAUGGAGUGAAUUUCUCAUGAUGCCCCUACCUUCAUUUAUAGCUGGAGUGAAUUUGUCCCUUGGACAAAUUCUUUUCUCCACCUUGACCAUGAAGUGCCAUGGGAUAACAUUUUCCUAUUCUGCUCUUGCUUGACAUGGUAAACAGUAUUAUCGGGCAUUAUCGCACUUAUUUAAUCAGUUUCAUGGGCCUUCUUUUAGAAUAACUAGUUUUCCGUGCUUUCAUUAAAAAAUUAUAUUAAAUUGAAGAGGCUUCUUAUCUAUCUUUAUUAGAUUCAUGCAUUUUUGUUGAAAUAGUAUACUUGCAUCUUUGUUUGCAUUAUUGUUUGUAGUAAGUACAUAUUGGAUGUUGUAACAAUUUAACUAUAAUUCAAUAUGUUCAAACUUGACGUCAUGAAGAGUAUUAUUAAUUGAACGAAAAUAUAGUCUGAAGUCUGAGACACCUUGUGGAGACUUGCAAGAGCUGGUUGUAUGCUAAAAAUUUAUCCAAAGCUAUAUACAUGAAGUGUGCAGCAUAUGUGAUUAAUCGAAUAUCCCUUAGCCUAACAAAUAUGAAAUCUCCUUAUAAGUUGAUGUUUGGAGAAAUUUAUAUUCACAUGCCGGAAUCUCAAAAAAACAAGUUAGAUGCAAAAGCAAGGAAGUGCAUUUUUAUUGGAUACAAUGAAAGGAAGAAGGGCUGGAAGUGCAUAGAUCCAAGGACUCACAAAUUUAUUGUUUCUAGAGAUGAUGUUUUUGAUGAAGUUUCUUCAUAUUAUGGCCUAAAUGGAGUUGCACUUGAGCAAGAAAGAUCCAACACUUUAGAGUUUAAAAUGACAUUACAACAUGGCUCUUCUUUUUAAUCAUCAUUAGGAGAGCAAAGUGAAAGGGAGAUUUCAAGUUCUCACCAAAGUAGUGGACAACAAGAAGAAAAUGAUGAAUUGGUGGCUAGUAAUUGACAGCCAAGGAGAAUAAUUGUCAAGCCAUUCCGUUAUCGAGAUAAAAAUUUUGUGAAUACUUAUUCUUGUUUCUUUGCCAAUCCAAUUGAUGAUGAGGAACACUCUUACUAUGAUAAAGCUAAAGGUAUCAAGGAGUGAAAGCGUGCCAUGGAUGAGGAGAUGAAUGCCCUUAUUUUUUAAUGACCAUCACAUUCAUCAAAAUAACUUUUCCUAUUUGUUAUCAAGAGAAAAGUCACAUCCCAAGAUUUGUUCAAUAUCAUCCUCCACUUUGAGAGGAAAGAAUUGGACAGUCGUUGCAUCAAAAGUAUUAAACUACGAAAUUUAAGAUAAGAAUAUUCAUGGGGAGGACCAUUCCCUUUAUGAAUCUUAAAGUGUUAAAUUACCAUCGUCAUGGAGGGAAAUUGUCACGCCCCCGCCUGCGCGGGGCACGUAAGGCACCCAGUGCCCACGUGGGGGCCACAUGAGGGGGAAAACAUGGGGCUCCCCUGCCAGAUAUUGUCCGGUUUCGGAGCUUCACGCAAGCAUCCUUCACCCCUCCUCGGUUUUGUUUUCCACCCAAAAUGCGUCGCAGGAUUUGGAGACACCCGCCUCAUAUGCCCAGGCUCUGAAACGAGUCUUUCCAAUAUGGGACUAUUGGGCCUCACACCCUUCCCACAUCAGACAAGAGCCAUUCUCGGCUCUGAUACCAAAUGUCAUGCCCCGCCUGCGCAGAGUACGUGAGGCACCCAGUGCCCACGUGGAGGCCACANNNNNNNNNNNNNNNNNNNNGUGAGGCACCCAGUGCCCACGUGGAGGCCACAUGAGGAGAGAAACACGGGGCUCCCCUGCCAGAUAUUGUCCAAUUUUGUGGCUUCACGCAAGCGUCCUUCACCCCUCCCUGAUUUUGUUUUCCAUCCAAAACACGUCUGCAGAAUUUAGAGACACCCGCCUCAUAUGUCCAGGCUCUGGAACGAGUUUUUUCGAUGUGGGACUAUUGGGCCUCACACCAAGAAAAUGCCAAGCCAAGAGAGGACCAUGUGCCAACUGAAGGCCAAAGUGGCCGCGCUAAUCAAACAGGACAUCGGGAUAUGAAGAGGCCAAUGGAGGGUCAAGCCAAGGCCAACCACUUUGCCGGAAAAAGCCUUGGCCAAGCCCCUUCAUUCGGCCAAGCACGCCCUUGGUCGGCCGAGACCAUGCCCAAGCCGCAUGCACCGCACCCAUGCAAGCCAAGCCUCGGCCGAGCACGCCCAACCUCAACCGAGCCAACUGCGCGCCGAUGCGUGCCCAAGCCUUGGCCAAGCAUGCCCAACCUUAGUCGAGCCCACCGCACGCGCAACCCCGCCAAAGCCAUGCCGCAGCCACGUCCAGCUGCGCUCAGCCAAUAUGCUACAGUGCGAAGAGGUUCGGCUGCAAGAACCUCGCCAGCUACAGUGACUGCGCCUGCUACAGUGCGGCGAGGUUCUUAGGCAAGAACCUCACCAGCUACAGUGUUAGCGCACAGCUAGCCCGCGAGUCAGCCUGCUACAGUGUGGCAAGGUUUGGCCUCCCGCACGCCCUCCCAUGCGCGCGCCCGCACACGCCCGCCAGCCUAGCGCACGCCCAGUCCCAAUACCACCUGGACUGGGACACGUCCAACCGGGACGCACGACUCGGCCAACUAGGACACGCGUCCCGUUUACCCAGACCGCGCGCCCAACUGGGACUCCUCCAGCCACAACCGGGACACGCGUCCCGUGCGUCCGGUCUGCGAGUCUCAUGCAAUCUCAACCCUCCAUCCUCUUCCAUCCAACGGCCAAAAAGCAAGCCAUUGUCCAGCCGUGGCAGGGCCCUUCUUGGGGGAUUUUCAGCCACUCAUCUCAUGCCAAUCAACGGUGGAAAAGCCUUGGAUCCAUGGGAUGACAAUUUGCCAUAUUUUCCUAAGGGGUUUUACUUAGUUUUGUCUAGGGCUUAGCCUAUAAAAAGAGUUGUGAGAGGACAUUGUAGGGAAUGGAAUGAUCAAUGAGUUGAGUCUUGUUUCUUUUGUGAGAGAGUCAGCCGUAAGGCUUGGGCUAUUAGGGGGUUAGGCCUUUAAUAGAUUUUGGUCCUUAGAUCUUCUGUUCUAGGACUUGGGCUAGUGGUUGAUAAAUCAAUCUCCACUAGAUUGGGCUAGGAAGGGAUCCUUUCGAUCCUUUGCUAGAUUUCUUUUACUUUUUGUUAUUCUUGUUAUUUGCUUUUGAUUGUCGUCGUUUGUUUUUCAAUUUAUUGGAAUAUAAAUCAAGGUUGCUUUCAUUGUUGAUCUUUUAUUGAGUUAUUCCACCGGCGUUACCUACAAUCGAUCCAUCAUCAGCAUCUUUUGAAAGCGCAUGCAAGGAGCGUGAGGGAAAAGGGCUUGGUGAGGGGUUCUGGACCGUGAGCCCCCAUCAAAUUGGUGCUUUCAUUGAGAGAAUCCUUCAAGGAGCUAACGCUUGAAUACCAAUCUUCCAGAUCUGAUUUUGCUUUGCAUAUUCUUUUGGAUCUAAGGUUAAAAAUCAGAUCAUAGUCGUUGGUGAAGUUCAUAAAAAUUCUGCAUCCUAUAUUGGACUUGAAUUUGUAUUCGGUUGGGGGAUUUUUAAUUUCUGUUUUUAUUAUUGUAAAACCCCUGUCGGUGGCUGAUUGGGUGAAAUACAAAUCAGGUGGGUUGGUUCAUCCUUUGGGUGACAACCGCAAGAGGUUUAGGGACUGAUUUGGGGAAGUUUUGUGUUGCAGAAAAAUUCUGUAGCAAGGUCUGUGUUUGGGUUGUUAAGAACAGAGUUUUCUGAAGCUUUGAGUUUGAUUUUUUGUGGAGAGUUUCAGAGGUUAUUACUCACUGUAAUAGGCAUCUUUACGUGUUGAUUUGGUUCUAUUUUGAGGGAGAUAUUGGCUGCUGAAGUCGGUAGACUGCUGCAGAAAUUUUCUGCAGUCCAGAAAUUUUUUGUGUAGCAAGUUUUGGGGGCUUGAUUGAGUUCUGGUUUUUGGAAGUUAGAGGGGCUGUUGUCUCCGGGUUUUAGAGUCCUAAAACAGAGGGUUAAAAGGAGAUGGAGUCCCCCCAAAAUAGUAACCACGAUAGGAGGUUAGAAGCCCUUGAAGUUAGUUCGGCAAACCUUAACCGGGCAUUGGAAACUUUGUCCAAUACUAUGGCUGAAAUAAGGAGGGAGAACAUUGCCAACGUUGAGAGAUUGGAAAGAAGGAUGCUAGAGAGAGAACAUAAGAGGGUGCAAGAAGAAGUGCCUAGGCCGCAUGCUGCACGGUAGAACCGGGCAAGGUAUGAGAGCGAUGCCAUUAGUGUUUAGAAUACACAUCAUGUAGAUCAUGGCAUUAGGCAUCAUGGCCGAACGGGAGGAAGGAUAGAAGCCGAAGGCUUAGUGUUUGAGAGGUGGCUUGAUGAUGAGUGGGUUAGUAAUGGCCAUAACAAUCAUGAUGGGGCUGAUAGUGAACCCGAAGAACAUCCCUUCCAUGCUUAAAGGCCUCAUGGUCGGAGAGAACCCAUGGCAAGGAGAAGAAGAAGUAUUAUGCGGGGUACUGACUUUGGAGAUGAUGACUAUAGGGGUCCAUGGCCUAGAGAAGAAGGGCUUAGGAAACCCAAAAUUGACUUUCCAAAGUUUGGUGGAGGAGACCCGUAUGAGUGGCUUGACAAGGCGGAUCAGUACUUUGACAUUUAUGAUAUCCCACGGGCUGAUCGGGUGACCCUAGCUAGUUUCCACUUAGAGGGAAGGGCUAGCCGAUGGUGGAGGUGGAUCUGGGCCUUGUAUGAGAAAGAAGGAAGAAGAUUGGGUUGGACUGCCUUUAUGGAUGAAUUCAUGAAACAAUGGGGACCUUCCCCCGUUGUCAAUCACCAUGGUCAACUUGUAAAACUCAAACAGGAGGGCAAAGUUCAGACCUAUAUCGAUGAGUUCCGGUAAUUGCAAACUAUGGUCAGCGGAUGGUCCGACGAAGCCUUACAUGGUACCUUCAUCGAUGGCCUCAAACCAUGGCUAGCCAAGGAGAUCAAACUCAAACAACCAACACGGUUACAAGAGGUGAUGCGCAUGGCGGAGAUCCUAGACCAAAGCUACAACCCGGAGUGGCGGAUGUCCAAGGAUUGUGCGGGCAACCAGCACACCGAAUUCCCACCAUCCAAGGCGACAAAUGAAGGCAAAGAAGGGAUUGGAACCAGCAACAAACACCAACUAAAGGAGGUAAGAACAUUGACUCGUGAUGAACUGAAAGAUUACAUUAAAAAAGGGCUAUGUUUCAAAUGCGGUGAAAAGUGGAGCCAGGAGCAUCGUUGCAAGACCGGCCAUGUCUACAUCCUUGAUGCAAGCAGCGAGGAAGAGGACGAGGUGUCUGAAUUUUCUGAUGAAGAUGGUGAAAAUCUGAUCAAAGGAAGGCCGAGCAUUAUGAAGUGAUCAAAGAAGCUGAACUUUCAUUGCAUACCAUGUCGGGAGUCCAAAAACCUCCUACUAUACGGCUUAUAACAUGGAUCGGUACGUAUGAAGUUUCUUUAUUGAUUGAUUCAGGCUCUUCACAUAAUUUUGUUAAUGCAAAGAUGCUUCAAAGGGUGGGCUUGAAAGGGAUAUCGGUGGAACCCCUUGAAGUAAAAAUCGCGAGUGAAGAAAGGAUGAAAUGUGAGGAGAUUGUGAGAGAAGUAAAAUUGAGGGUCCAAGGGGUUCUGAUUAGUGUUAAUUUGCAUGUACUACAGUUGGUACGACUAGAUGCGGUACUUGGGAUUUUAUGGCUUCGAAGGCUGGACAAGAUAGAGACUGACUAUGAGUCGAUGACCAUGAAGUUCAGACUUGGUGGACGGAUGAGGAAGUGGACCGCUUGGGGCAGCAAUGACAUGAGGCCUUGUGAGGCCAAUAUGUUGGAGACACUGCACGGCCGAAAGCCUAAAGAAGAAGCUAUACAGGAAGCCCAUGAAGGAGUUCGGUGACACUCAGAGCAUAUCCUUGGGGGCAAGGAUAUUUUUCAAGGGAGGGGGUUUGUUGAGGUCCCACGCAAGCAACACCUAGAAAACGCCAAGCCAAGAGAGGACUAUGUGCCAAUUGAAGGCCAAAGUGGCUCAUGCAGACUAAAGAGGACAUCGGGAUAUAAUGAGGCCAACGGAGGGUCAAGCCAAGGCCAACCACUUUGCCAGGACAAGCCUUAGCCAAGCCCCUUCAUUCGGCCAAGCACGCUCAUGGUCGGCCGAGACCAUGCUCGAGCCGCACGCACCGCGCCCAUGCAUGCCAAGCCUCGGUCGAGCACGUCCAACCUCGGUCGGGCCAAUUGCGCACCCAAGCCUCGGCCGAGCAUGCCCAACCUUGGCCAAGCCCACCGCACGCACAGCGCCGCCAAAGCCAUGCCGCAGCCAGGUCCAGCCGCGAUCAGCCAACAUGCUACAGUGCGGCGAGGUUCGGCUGCAAGAACCUCGCCAACUACAGUGACUACACCCGCUACAGUGCGGCGAGGUUCUUGGGCAAGAACCUCGCUAGCUACAGUGUCCACGCACAGCCAUCCUGCUACAGUGCUGCGAGGUUUGGCCGGCCGAACCUUGCAUGCUAUAGUGCCCGCGCGCACAGUGUCCGCGUGCCCAGGCUCGCGCGCGCCCGCCCGCGCGCCCAUGCCAGCCCCGCGCGCACCCAGCACCCGCGCGCCUAGGCCCGCGACCCAGGACCUCACCCAAAAUGGCUAGCCAUAAAGUAUUAUUUGGGUUCCUUGAUCCUGUAUAAGUACCCAAGAUCUACCCAACGAAUAACCGAUGUGNNNNNNNNNNNNNNNNNNNNNNNNNNNNNNNNNNNNNNNNNNNNNNNNNNNNNNNNNNNNNNNNNNNNNNNNNNNNNNNNNNNNNNNNNNNNNNNNNNNNNNNNNNNNNNNNNNNNNNNNNNNNNNNNNNNNNNNNNNNNNNNNNNNNNNNNNNNNNNNNNNNNNNNNNNNNNNNNNNNNNNNNNNNNNNNNNNNNNNNNNNNNNNNNNNNNNNNNNNNNNGGCUAGCCGAAAGUUAUUAUUUGAGUUUUUGAUCCUGUAUAAGUACCCAAGAUCUACCCAGCGAAUAACCGACGUGGGACUAAACACACGCCCGCACGGGUCCUCAUGGGUUGUUACAAAUAGUAUCAGAGCGGAUCCGGCCUAUAAUCUAUGUGGACUAGGGGACACUGCAGCACGGAUCUAUUGGGGCUAACCAUGAGCCGAUCGUGGUAUUUGUGAUUAGAUUUGAAUUGAUUUGAACCCUUAGCCUGACGAGGACGUCAGGGCUUGAACGGGAGAAGUAUGUGAGGAUCCGUGCGGGCGUGUGUUUAGUUCUACAUCGGUUAUUCGCUGGGUAGAUCUUGGAUAUUUUUACAGGAUCAAUGAACCCAAAUAAUACCUUCUGGCUAGUCAUUUUGGUUGAGAUCUACAGAAAUCAUGAGAACUACCUUCGAAUGCAAUCUCUUGUUGCCUUCCACUUUGAUGGUGAUGGUGUAACGACAUCUUAAUUUAUGAUCAGCCUUGUCAUAUCUAAAAAGAUGAAGAUGACGUUUGUAUUAAAAUUUAAAAGUGUGACAAACAAAGCCAAUGUGAGGGCAGUCUUUGUUUUAUCGGGCAGCGGGGCGUCCACCCGAGUCAAAAAAUUAUCCCAUCCAAAGCAUGCACAACCUAGAAUAUAUUGAAGAAACGGAAAGCCGAUUUAUGGCCAUUAUAUUGCACUGGAAGGAUAUAAUUAUUUGAGCAUGCACGGGCUGAGCAUCGCGUGGAUCUGCCCUUGGUGCAAGAUGGAGAAGACUGUGGAUCACGUCCUAUUUCAGUGUGAUUGUGAAGUAUGGGUGUGGAGACUUGCUGAUGUCCCGCCAAAUGCUUUGUGCAAGUCUGGCUCCUUCACCCAGACGCUUAGGAGGUGGGCUGCCUCUCCUCAAAUCCGGUAUGUAGUCAUCAGGGCAUCUUAUACGGCUUACCAUAUUUGGAUGAUCAGAAAUGCCUAGAUUUUUGGAAAGAGUAGUCCCACACUGAGACUCGUCAUAGAGAGGGCCUGCGUGCAAGCUACAGAGAUCAUCCAUGCAGGUUCAUUGAGCGGGUCGCUGAUAGCUCGGGACAUCUGAGACUCUAUCUCUACUCUUGUAGCAUCUCGGGCGGUGUAUAUCACCUAGGAGUCCCCACCUCUGAGCUUUCUCAAAGUCAAUUUUGAUAGAUACGUUUUGAAUCGUGGCAGGAAGAGGCAGGGCCGGCUCGAGUCUUAGACGAUCGCCUCGGUCGCCUUAAGGCCUCGGCCCAAAGGAAGGCCUCUGGGAGGCAAAGAGAAGAUAACCACAAAAGGAAAAAAGAAGGCAAAAAGGCACCGACUUGCAAUGAAAUAAGGGAUGAGAGAAGAGAAAGCAAAUUGAGAGAGAGAGAGAGGAGGGAGGGAGGUUCCUUGCCCUAUUUUUUGUGUUUGAUCAUGACCAAAAAGGAAGCAAAGGCCCCAUAUAAGAUGGGAACAGGAGCUGGCUACGAGUCUUCCCCCUUGAUGGAAGGGAGGUGGAGAGUUUCCCGGCCUGCAGAGGGGCAAUUUGGAAAGUUGGGGAUAGUAGUUUUGUUUUGGGUGGAGAGAAAGAGAUAGGAGGGAUUUGGUUGGCUUGAUACACAUGUCUGAAGCCACUCUUACCUUUAANNNNNNNNNNNNNNNNNNNNNNNNNNNNNNNNNNNNNNNNNNNNNNNNNNNNNNNNNNNNNNNNNNNNNNNNNNNNNNNNNNNNNNNNNNNNNNNNNNNNNNNNNNNNNNNNNNNNNNNNNNNNNNNNNNNNNNNNNNNNNNNNNNNNNNNNNNNNNNNNNNNNNNNNNNNNNNNNNNNNNNNNNNNNNAAUGGCUGCUGCUUGGGUACUCGCUUGAAGGGGAGACGGUACAUUUACCAAAACAAAAGGGGGAGACGGUGGGAUGGGACUUUUAUUAAUUAGAUGGAGUGAAUUUCCCAUAAUGCCCCUACUUUCUGUUAUAGAUACGUCCUGUUCUAGAUAAAUUCUUUCCUUUACAUUGGCCCUGAAAUGCCAUGGGAUAACCUUUUGUUAUUCUGCUGCUUUUUUCUCUCUUUCUUUCUCUUUCUUUUUUUUCUGCUAAGACGGACGGAUCAUACCAAACAAAUAUAGAUACACUCAAUAAAGUUAAAAAUAAAAAAACCUCAGAAUGCCAGGAGCAACUCUCCAUCUCCAGCCACAGGGUACUAUCCGAGUACUGGCUACGUAAAUAGCUACCCAGUCCGCGGUCCCAUUAGCUUUAUGGAAGAAAUGUUUAGCCUGGAAAGCCCCUCUAUUUCUCACCAUUGCCUAGAUAUCUUGGAGCAAAGGGUGGAUGCAACCGUUGCCCCUUGGACCUCCUCAAAUUCAGAUGAUGAUCGUGACUGAGUCUCCCUCCAGGACGAUGGAACUGGCCUGUAAAACACACUGAGCGUGACGAAAGCCCGUUCAAGCGGCACUCAGCUCUGCACCCGAAACCGAUAUGUCAAAAAGUUGACUGCCUCCUGCAGCCACGACUCUGGCAGACGGGUCCCGAAUAAUAAAAUCCGCACCGCCCCUUGUACCUCCGUCCAAGACAGACCCAUCGAUGUUGACCUUGAGAAAACUCGGAGGUGGGGGCUUUCAGGUGAAAAACACUGUAUGAGAUGCUGUCGAAGCAGAAUAAGAAUUCCAGAUGUCCCGAGCUGUCAAGGGCCCUUCGACAAGUAUGAUGUGAUUGAUCUUCGCCACUUGCACACGGGCACUCUCCACCAUAAAUCUCGGUGACAUACUGCUCAUGCUUGACAUGGUAAACAGUAUUGCCAAGUAUUAUUUCAGUUAUUUAAUCAGUUUCAUGGCCCUUUCUCUUUUUUUUUGGCUAAGGCAUGGCCCUUCUUUUAUUGUAAUUACUUUUCCGUGCUUCCAUUCAAGUAUUAUAUUAAACUGAAGAGGCUUCUUGUCUAUCUUUGUCAGAUUCAUGCAUCUUUGUUGAAAUAGUAUACUUGACAGCUAUCUAUUUCUAUAUUAUUUUUUAAAUAUUUUAUACUUAUUAAAAAAUUUUAUUAUUAAAAAAAGCCUCAUUCAUUGAAUUUGCCUUAGGCCCCCAAAUGUAUUGGGCCGCCCCUGGAAGGGGGGUNNNNNNNNNNNNNNNNNNNNCCUUAGGCCCCCAAAUGUAUUGGGCCGCCCCUGGAAGGGGGGUGCUGGUUUCAUGAUCAAAGGCCCGGACUCUAGAGUGCUGGCAGCUAGAAGGAGCCCUAUCUUCGAUAUCUCAGUCCCUUGGACGGAGCUGAGGGCAGCUUGAGCUGGCCUAUGUCAUGCUCGACUUGUACUGCGAGCCAAUGACAUCCUUCUUAAAGGUGACUCGGCUAUAGUAAUCGUCUAAAUCCAGAGGUGUACUAGUGAUGUUAGAGGCCGCCACCCCCUUCUUCGAAAUAUUUGGGGCAUGGCUAGUGGUGACAUUACCUUCCGGGCAAAACACUUAUAUAGGGAGGUUAAUGGAGUUACGGACUGGGUGGCUUCUUUUGUGGCUGAUCAUACUUGGAGGCUUCUGUGGAUUUGUGAGGCGGAGCUGCCUAAGAUACUCCAUGACUUGUUAUAUUUUGACUUUUUUGGUUGUAUUUGUACUAGAUUUGUAUGAGUCCUCCGGUAUAGAAAAAAGGAUAUAAUUAUGAAACCUAGCCUCUAACGGCUAUUUAAAGACCCCCACAUCUUCUUUCGUCCCACCACCGAUAUGUUUCGCCGAUCAUCACUGCAAACCACCAUCAAUUUCUUUCUCUUUCCUUUUCUCUCCUCGCUCUUUUCUUUUCUCUCUCCUCUUCUCUCUUUUUCUCUUUUUACCACUUCUCUCUCUAGAAAUCCUACAGACCUAUGGAGGUCCAGACAUUUUGAUAGGCCAAGAUGACCCUUGACCCUAGGAGGGGUCCCAGCUAGUAUUGUGCGACCAAGAGCUUUGAGCUGGUCUUGGUUUCAGAUUGGCGUUAUGCGGCCAUAGAAAGCAUUCCGGGUUGGUGUUAUGCAACCGUACGAGGGGUUCUAGGUUUUCGGUUUGACCUUAUUAUAAUCAUCUGUCAUAAUUCAUGGAUGAUUAUGAUUAUUCUAAUGAUGAGACCCAACUUUUUUAGGUGAACAAUCAUUUGGGCUAUAAUGUGUUGAGCAGUCCACUUUGCCCCCGAGUUCGUAAAUCAAGCGGAGUAUCAAUGUACCCAAUGUUUAAGUCUGUUGCUUGUAGAGGUAAGAAUCCCUUAACACAAUCAUCUACAUGAUUAUGAAAGUUUUGUAUAUAAAUAUAUCUUGCAUGAUUGUGGAUAUUUUAUACAUAUUGCUAUCUGUAUUAUGUGUUAAUGUGAUGUUACAUAGAUUAUGAUGUUACUUAGUCUAGCUUCGUAUAAGACUUAUUAAUUGGUGAUUUAUUAUAGAAAUCAUGUAGAUAUUAAAUAAAUCAACACUUUGAUAUAAUUAUAAGAUGGAGUAUGGGCGGCAUCUAGAUUGGUUGGCCACGCAAGAAACGUGGUGUAUAUGCUGGGUCAAUCUUGGGCUGGGGUGUAGCAUUAUGUUUGGCUUAUCAUGGGCUAGAUUAUGGCUAUAACUAGUCCAACGCCAAAAAGAUCAAUUCCAGAUAAUGAACUAUCAUUAAAUCAUAAUUGUGACAUAAUUAAAUCAAUUUUUUGUAAGAGUGGGGAAAAGGGAGCAUCUAGAUUAUCCGGCAAUUUGUGAAAUUUGGUGUGCCAGUCGUGGGCUAAGUUGUGAUAUUGCAAUUGCCAGCCAUAGGUGGAAGUAUGGUAUAUAUUUGGCUUUCCAUGGGCUGGAGCAGGACUAGGAUUAGUCCAUUGCUGAAAUCAAAUCAUGAUGAUAAAUUAUGUUUAACUACAAGUAAAUUUAAUUUUUCACAAUUAUGAGAUUGGGAACAAGAGGAGCAAUUGGGCUAGCCGACAUGUGUGAAACUUGGUCUUUGUGAUAUCAAUUAUGCUGAGAUGUGAUGUUGCGGUUGCCGGUGAUGGGUGAAAACGAAGUAUGUUUUGACAUGCUACGGGCUGGAGCGUGGGUGGGACUAGUCUAGUGCCAAAAUGAUAAUAUUGUCGAGAUCUAAACUGUGUUAAUCGGUUAAUCAUAGGUAACCUCACUGACUUAUUGUUGAAUAAAAUUGCUGAUUUGGGUGAUAUGUGAUUUGUUUAUACAGUACUAUGGUGAUGUUUAGCAUCUAUCUCGAGAUUUCCAUUUAUGAUGAUAUAUCUAUGAUUGUGUUGCUAUAUAAUCAAAACUUGAUAUGUAUGCUGGUAUGGCUUAUACGGGUGUUUAUAAAUAUAUACACGAGAUCAAUUGAGUAAUAUUCAAUUAUAAGAUUGUUGAUUUUCAAAUCUUACUAUUUUCCUUUCAAUUUUAUAUUUGCUUGUAGAUGCUCUCCAUAUUCAUGCUAGUGUGCAUGCGUGGAGGAUUCUUAUUGUACCGUAAAGCCCACACCACUUUUUUUUUUCCUCCAGAGUUACAAGAUGCUUAGUCUCGGAUAAAGUCGGCAUGAAGUUUGAGCGAUGGAGUUUUUAGUUAGUCUGCUUUCUACUUUCAAACAAACAAUUGAAUAUCUUGUAGUUGAAUUAGUUUGACAAUUUGAAUAUGGUGGAUUUAUUUAGUUUGAUUCUUUAGUUGUUGAGUUAUUGGAUAUUUGUUAAUAUUAGGCCUUGGAGGAUCUCCAGGGCAACGCUCCAGGGUUCAUGUGGCUGUGUCAUAUAGCCGACCAAGGUGUUGGGUUCGGGGCUCGACACGUACAGUCCAGUAUAAGGCGUUAAUAUGAUAGCGGACCACUUGUAUCACAUGCAAAUCAUAUAUGAUGGUAGAAGCCAAAGAACUUCCGUGGUCCAAAGGAACCGCAUAUUAUUGUAGUCACUUCAGAGGGAAUCACUCGAUGUUACAAUCUAAUUUCAAUAAUAUUUUUUUUGUUUCCUUUUGAAAGAGUGGGACGCCACGGUAUAAAGGCUAAAAACAAAACAAAGAACUUUGAGCUAAACAAAAAAUGAGGUUGUCAUCAGCUUCCUGUAACUUAUGGUUAGGGCUAUAUAAUCUCAUAGGCUCAUGCAUAUAAUCGAGCAGCAUUAUGCUGUGCUGAAUGCAAAUUUUUGUUAUGGCCCAUGGUUAUUUCAUUAAAUGAUCCUAUGAGCCUACCCUAUUGCUGCUGCACUGGAUGCCAUGUCUUCGAUCAUUUUGUUGAAAGGUUGCGAUUGCGUUGAGCUAAGUCCAGGCUUUACUUAGUCUAUGAUCUAGACCAAGAUUUGAUUGAUCAGGAGGCAAAUUAGAAUCAUCUUGUGCAUCUUGCACGUGCAGCGUAAUUCUAAUUUGUAUUUAAAAUGGCUAGACCAAAAUUUAUGAAUAAGUAGAUAUAGGUGCAGAGAAAUUUCAAAUUCAAAACACUCCUACCUGCAAUCACCAUUGGAAAUUCAUACCUUCAAAAUUCAUAAAAGGUCUUGCUAAUGGAAGAGAUGGUGAAACAUGACCCACUGGAAAGUUGCUAAAAUCAUGAUCAUCCCAACAACUAUCACAACCAAACACCAAAAUCGAGAAAAAUCUCCUAACAACAAACCUAUAUGAAUCAAUCUCAAUGGUGGGAUAGCUCCACAGAGAGAGAGAGAGAGAGAAGCCGGCGGUAACAUUUGUGAUGCUACAAUUGGGGCUCGCAAGAGGAUGCAAUCAAGCCUCAAACCAUAUGGGAAUUGAGAGGGAAGAAAUAGGGGUUCAAACCACUCAGGUAGCGUGGGGGGCGCAAGAGGAGGAGGGAUAGAGGGGCACAAGUUUGGGGGAGGGUCGAGGGAGGAAUAAAAGAGAGAAUCCUGGGGGUGAGAGGAAGAGAAUAAGGGGCGGAGGGCAAGUGCUAAGGGUUUUCUAGUCACAACAAACCAGAGAGAGACCAAAGAAAACUGGAAAAAUGUUUUCUGGAGAUUCUCCCUCUAAUUAAGCGUAGGAUAGACGGAGCUUUGCUCGUGAGAAGUCUAACAAUGGCUGGCAGUGCAAAUAUAAUUCAAAUAGAUUUGUUUUAAAUAUCUUUGAUUAAUAUUGUGUGCGAGACGUUUUUAUUUCUUUGUCAAACAUGGGAUGUAACUCGCCCAUCAACAAAGUUGAUAGUGAACUCUCUAAGGUAUUGCCCUCGACAGGAUACGGUUGCAAACAUAGUAAUUGAAUUGCAAGCAUAUGAAACAACUAUUUAGAUACUUGACUACAAGCUGCAUUUGAACUACAAGCAUGAGUCUAGAUUUUAUAAUUAAAAAUAUUGGAAAAAUUGAUUGUAUUUUCAAGUACAAAAUUUAUUGCAAUUGGAAGCAACCUCCAAAAGAGAUGCCGCACCACACUUCAACCAAUGAAAUUUAAAAUUCUAUAUUUUAUUAUUUAAUUUAUUAGAAUAUAAAAUUAUUGUAACAUAAUGUAUGAUGAUUAUAAUAUUUAAUAAAAUUUUCUAAAAGUAUACUUCAACAAAAAUUGAUGUUUUAUUGUUAAUAAUAUAAGUAUUGUUUUAUGAUCAUAGCAUGCGUGUUUAAUUAUUUCUAUUACAUCACAAUGAUUCCUGUAGCACCAUAAAACUAAGUUAACUUCAAUUGUAUUUGUAAUUUUCAAUUACAGAUAAUGAAAAAGCAAUAGCUUUUGCAACUGUCAUGUCAAAAUGUAAUAUUUUUAGUUGCAACCUAUUUUUAGCUUGCAAGAAAUAGCAUUGCAGGUAAAACAAAUACUUACUAAAUAAAUAUUUUAUUUGACUGGAGAGAGGAAAAAAAUCUUUUAUUCUCCUCAACUUGAACCUCUCAAAUGGAUUUAGAAAAGGUAGAAAAUAUGGCAAUAUUAGGGUCUUUUCUUACAUUGAUCAAUAAUAAAUUGAUAUGCAUAGCUUCUAUUAAUGCUAGUGAGGUCCACCCUUGUAUAUUUUAAGUCAGAUUGCUCUUCUAAUAUAAACAGACAUGACUAAUAAAAAAAUAAAUAUUAUAAAGUUAAAAUCCAAAAUAAAGUAAAUCUCAACUCCUACAUUGACUUUGUCUCUAGUCGUUCUACCAAUUUUUUUCUAUAUGAAAAGUUACAUCCGAUCAAAGUCUCUCCUAAAAAGAAAGUUUCAAUUAGAUUGGUUCAUUUUAGAAUUUAAACGAUAAAAUUUGUUACUAUUCGCUCCCUGUACUACACCCUAAAAGAGGUGGCUCCAUAUUAUAGAGCUUGAAAGUUGUCGGAUUUAUUUUAAAAAAUCAUCUUAAUGUAGCAUCGUACGAAUAAGUUAUAGCCUUCGAAAGUUAGCACGCGAUUUAGCUCUUUAAUGUAAUGACUUGCCCCUAAACAAUGUCCAAUCCUUCUUAUAAUGGCUAAAUUGAUCCACAUCGAGUCUGAUGAUCCUACUGGAUCGAUAUCAAUGAAACUAAGAUUUUUAUCUCGAUCGAGAUCUCGAAUUGUAUGGCAACUUUGGAUACAAUAUGCGCAGAAGGCUUGGCCUAUUUUCUCAAUCAAAAUAAAUUGAUAAAAUCCAAGAUCUUUGCUGACAUGAUAUCAUUCAAAUAAAAAAAUAUUUUUUAAUCACUUUUAUGUCCUUAAAUGAGAUUUUUAAUCAAUAAUUCUUUGAUUUUUUAAUCAUUUUAUCUUAAAAUAAUUAUUCUUUAAUUAAUUAUUAUUUUUUUGAGAUUUGUGCAUUGGAUGAUCCAACGGUGUAUUUGUGCGAAAAAAGAUGAAUACUCCUUUGGUGCAGAAGAUACAAUUGCGGCCCAACUUUGAACCCAACCUCUCACUUAGAAGACAAGUGGAUUUGUUGCUUAGCUACAAACUUAGGGAGUAGAUGCAGUUGUGUUAUAGAAAAUAUUGUGAAGAAUAGUUCUGUUAAAAGACCAUAAUGGCAGCCUCUUGUGAAGACGAUUUGGUUGGUUGUUUAUAGAAUCUUUGGUUGCCAGUUUCUUGACCUCAAGUCAACUAAUAGUCCAAUGUGGAAAGGAAAAUUUUCUAACAAUCUUGAGAUCAAGCACAUAGGAGCUGACAGAUAAACCAGAUGCGGCUAUUUUUUCCGAAAAAAAGGCAGGGUGGAGUGGUCUUACCCACUGUAUUUGUAUAUAUGUCCAGAAUAGACCGAGCUUAAUACUUGAAGUCUUGAAGGAUUAGAGUUGUAUCUUUUGCAGAUCUUUGAAUUAUCCAUUGGUCACUUUGAGAUCUAUGCAGACGGAUAAAUAAUAAUGGAGUUUGGAAUGCUUUGAGAACUGUACAUUAGGUGAUCGAAUGGUGGAUUCGUCCGAAGAAAGUUGAACACUUCUUUAGAUCCAAUGGUAUUCGAAGUCUCACAUCAACACAUGUCUAUAAGGAGAGAAACUAAUCUCUAGAUAUAUUGGCUAGCCAGCAGAUGUGCCGAUGGAAAUUUUAUAUCCGAGAGUUCUUAGCCUUUAUCUUCCCAUACCAAUAAGCUUUUUUUCUUCUGGCUGAUAUAAGUUUAUUUAUUUUUGGAGGAAAACACUAAGAAAAAAACUUCACAUUAUCAAGCAUGUAUAAAAUAUUCCUUUCACACAAUAUUCGAAAAGAAAAUAUUACACUGAAAUAACAUUGCAUUUCCACAUUAUUCUCCCAUAAAUCUAACAUCCUUCACCCUUAUUAUUGUUAUUAUUCUUGGCAAAGGAAAAACACGGAUACACAUGAUCACAUGAUGGUACACGGCGUUGAUGGAUCCUCCUUAAGAAUCAACUCGUAUCCUCCAUGAGAGGUUCCACCAAAGGGCAUUGGUGGACAAUCAGGCACGCAUCCGUAGAUCCUUCCACAAGAGUAACACCGAGACCCUCCUUGGUGCCCGCCAGAGGAGGGCAUCCAGCAACAAACCUGACAAAUUGGUGGUUGACACGGUGGUGGACAUGGUGGUGGACACGGUGGUGGACACGGUGGUGGACAUGGUGGUUCACACGGUGGUGGACACACUUUACCUUUUUUUGGCGUCUCCUUGCAGGGAUCCGGGCAUUUUGCAUGCUCACAUACUAUGAUCUCAAUGUCGUUGAUCACCUUUUCAGUUUCUUU